UACGUAGGGUGCGAGCGUUGUCCGGAAUUAUUGGGCGUAAAGAGCUUGUAGGCGGUCUGUCGCGUCUGCUGUGAAAUCCGGGGCUCAACCCCGGACUUGCAGUGGGUACGGGCAGACUAGAGUGUGGUAGGGGAGACUGGAAUUCCUGGUGUAGCGGUGAAAUGCGCAGAUAUCAGGAGGAACACCGAGUGGCGAAGGCAGGUCUCUGGGACGG
rnacentral:rRNA from 1 species